GAUGAACGCUGGCGGCGUGCCUAAUACAUGCAAGUCGAGCGAACAGACGAGGAGCUUGCUCCUCUGACGUUAGCGGCGGACGGGUGAGUAACACGUGGAUAACCUACCUAUAAGACUGGGAUAACUUCGGGAAACCGGCGCUAAUACCGGAUAACAUGUUGAACCGCAUGGUUCAACAGUGAAAGACGGUCUUGCUGUAACUUCUAGCUGGAUACGCGCCGCAUGAGCUAGUUGGUACGGUCACGGCUUACCAAGGCAACGAUGCGUAGCCGACCUGAGAGGGUGGUCGGCCACACUGGAACGGGGACACGGUCCAGACGCCUACGGGAGGCAGCAGUAGGGAAUGUGCCGCAAUGGUCGGAAUCCUUACGGAGCAACGCGGCGUGAGUGAAGAAGGUCUCCGGAUCGUAAAACUCGGUUUUGAGGUAAGAACAAAUGUGGAAGUAACCAUGCACGUCGUGACGGUAACGAAUCAGAAAGCCCCGGCUAACUACGUG
rnacentral:rRNA from 1 species